GAUGAACGCUAGCUACAGGCUUAACACAUGCAAGUCGAGGGACCGGCGCACGGGUGAGUAACACGUAUCCAACCUGCCCUUUACUCGGGGAUAGCCUUUCGAAAGAAAGAUUAAUACCCGAUAUAAAGGAUGGGGAUGCGUUCCAUUAGGUUGUUGGUGAGGUAACGGCGCACCAAGCCUUCGAUGGAUAGGGGUUCUGAGAGGAAGGUCCCCGACAUUGGAACUGGGACAAGGUCCAAACGCGUACGGGAGGAAGCAGUGAGGAAGAUUGGGCAAUGGGCGCGAGCCUGAACCAGCCAAGGAGCGUGAAGGAUGAAGGCUUAUGGGGCGUAGACUUCUUGUAUAUAAGAAUAUGUAUUAGAUGAAUAAGGAUCGGCUAACUCCGUGCCAGCAGCCGCGGUAAUUC
rnacentral:rRNA from 1 species